CGAUACCAGUCAUAGGUGGGUAAUUGGGAACUUAAAAGUUGGCAAAUGUGACUAAGAGGCAGGCCAUGUUGACAACUGAGAGAUGGGAUUGGUGGAGGCGGGCAAACACAUUUGAACCAAAUCAAAGUAUGGCACCACACACAGGAUAAAAAGAAAAGAAAGCAGAUCCUGCCUCCUUAAGAACUACAUGAUCAGAAGGCGUCCUCAUGGAAAGGAGUCAGAGCCAGAGAAAGAUCUAUAAUGACAGAAAAAGAGGUUGAAUUAUCACUGGGCCAGAAGCCAAGGAAUACUGGCAGACUCUAGAAACUAAGAAAGGUGGGGGAGGGUUCUCUCCUAGAACCUCCAAAGGAUCUCAGCACUGCUGACACCGUAAUUUUAGCCCACUGAGACUGAUUUUUGAACUGACCUCCCGAACUAUAAGAUAAUAAAUCUGUGCCGUGUUACA